rnacentral:rRNA from 1 species
UGCAGUCGAGCGGAAACGAGUUAUCUGAACCUUCGGGGAACGAUAACGGCGUCGAGCGGCGGACGGGUGAGUAAUGCCUGGGAAAUUGCCCUGAUGUGGGGGAUAACCAUUGGAAACGAUGGCUAAUACCGCAUAAUAGCUUCGGCUCAAAGAGGGGGACCUUCGGGCCUCUCGCGUCAGGAUAUGCCCAGGUGGGAUUAGCUAGUUGGUGAGGUAAGGGCUCACCAAGGCGACGAUCCCUAGCUGGUCUGAGAGGAUGAUCAGCCACACUGGAACUGAGACACGGUCCAGACUCCUACGGGAGGCAGCAGUGGGGAAUAUUGCACAAUGGGCGCAAGCCUGAUGCAGCCAUGCCGCGUGUAUGAAGAAGGCCUUCGGGUUGUAAAGUACUUUCAGCAGUGAGGAAGGUGGUGUACUUAAUACGUGCAUCAUUUGACGUUAGCUGCAGAAGAAGCACCGGCUAACUCCGUGCCAGCAGCCGCGGUAAUACGGAGGGUGCGAGCGUUAAUCGGAAUUACUGGGCGUAAAGCGCAUGCAGGUGGUUUGUUAAGUCAGAUGUGAAAGCCCGGGGCUCAACCUCGGAAUUGCAUUUGAAACUGACAGACUAGAGUACUGUAGAGGGGGGUAGAAUUUCAGGUGUAGCGGUGAAAUGCGUAGAGAUCUGAAGGAAUACCGGUGGCGAA